rnacentral:misc_RNA from 1 species
GAGAUUUCGCAGAAAUACAAGCAGAUUUUUGAAACCUUUGAUUCUGAAAAUUGAUUUAUUUAAGCAAUUUGAUUCAUUAUUAUUAUUGCUUGGGUUUUUAUUGUAUAUUAUGUGGCAUAUAUAUGAUUCAUCAUGCGUAGAAAUCUUAUGCUAGAGUGAACAAGAAGUUUAAAACUUGUUUGGCAGAUAGUUGACCAGAAUUUACAUUCCUUGUUAAAAAUAAUUAAAUAAAACAUUUACUCACUUGAAUAUUGAUGCUUCAUAUAAAC